CUCAAGUUGAUCGCUAUCGGCGUUAAGCGUGAUUAAAGUCCACUUAGAUUAGGGUUAAAUUAAUACUUAGUAGUUUAAAGCUUGUCAUUAAGAGAACCACAAACGAAAGUUACCCUAACCAAUACACUUGAAUACACGACAGCCGGGGAACAAACUAGGAUCAGAUACCCUAUUAUGCCCAGCCGUAAACAAUUAACUUACAUCUAUAAACGCCAGGGAAUUACGAGCUACGCUUAAAACCCAAAGGAUUUGACGGUGUCCCACCCACCUAGAGGAGCCUGUUCUAUAAUCGAUAAUACCCGCUAUACCCAACCACCUCUUGCUAUUCAGUCUGUAUACCUCCGUCGAAAGCUUACCAUGUGAACGCCUACAGUGAGUACAAUUACCCCCAACGUCAACACGUCAGGUCAAGGUGCAGCUUAAGGGGUGGAAAGAAAUGGGCUACAAUUUCUAAUCUAGAACAAACGAAAGACUAUGUGAAAUCAUGGUACUGAAGGCGGAUUUAGCAGUAAAAAGAAAAUAGAGCGUUCUUUUUAACCUGGCUCUGGGACGCGUACACACCGCCCGUCACCCUCUUCAAUAGUAUCAUCACCAGUUCAUAACCAGUUUUUACAUCUUAGAAGAGGCAAGUCGUAACAUGGUAAGUGUACUGGAAAGUGCACUUGGAAUAUAA
rnacentral:rRNA from 1 species